UACGUAGGGGGCAAGCGUUGUCCGGAUUUAUUGGGCGUAAAGAGCGUGUAGGCGGCCAUACAGGUCAGCUGUGAAAACUCGAGGCUCAACCUCGAGACGUCGGUUGAAACCGUAUGGCUAGAGUCCGGAAGAGGAGAGUGGAAUUCCCGGUGUAGCGGUGAAAUGCGCAGAUAUCGGGAAGAACACCCGUGGCGAAGGCGGCGCUCUGGGACGGUACUGACGCUGAGACGCGAAAGCGUGGGGAGCGAACAGG
rnacentral:rRNA from 1 species